AUUGAACGCUGGCGGCAGGCCUAACACAUGCAAGUCGAACGAGUGGCGGACGGGUGAGUAAUGUCUGGGAAACUGCCUUAUGGAGGGGUAUCCCUACUGGACACGGUCGCUAAUACCGCAUACCAUCAGAUGUGCCCAGAUUGGAUUCGCUAGUUGGUGGGGUAACGGCUCACCAAGGCGACGAUCCCUAGCUGGUCUGAGAGGAUGACCAGCCACACUGGAACUGAGACACGGUCCAGACUCCUACGGGAGGCAGCAGUGGGGAAUAUUGCACAAGGGGCGCAAGCCGGAUGCAGCCAUGCCGCGUGUAUGAAGAAGGCCUUCGGGUUGUAAAGUACUUUCAGCGGGGAGGCGUUACCCGCAGAAGAAGCACCGGCUAACUCCGUGCCAGCAGCCGCGGUAAUUC
rnacentral:rRNA from 1 species